ACAAGGGACGCAAAAUCAUCCCAACAUCCUCUGUAAAUUUCUCAAUUUCCCACUUGCUAUUUGGAUAUUUAGCUAUCCUCAAAUGUACUUACCAAGAAUCCCUUCACCACCCUCUGAUGAUUCCAAAAAUAGAUGCAAACAUACUAAUUAGCACCUUUAACUUAGAACUCAAGUCAAAAAACUUCUAAUGUGCGUUGUUCUAAAGUCUAAGGUGUCUAGUUCCUUCCAUUCACUAUUUUUGAGGUAACUAGAAAGAGGCUCGAACACGAGAUCGCUUAGGGAAAGUGGGGUAUGAAAGCUAGUUGAGUUACAAAAUCACUGCCUGACCUUGCCCUUCUACUUUAAGAACCAAAACAAAACCCCCAAUGACUUAUUAAUGAAGGUUUGCACAACAUACAAGCACAACAACACAAAUCGAAGCCUUUCUUGAAAGGAAAAAAAUAUUCUCUUGGAACAAUUCAUCAUUCCAGGUGCAAAUUGUCCAUCCAUAUGCAAACCCGUGCUCCAUUUCCCACUCUGCAGCACGCUGCUCGUCGUAUAAUCUGUUGUCUCAUAUGCCGCUUCAGGUAAGCUUAGGCAUUGACCAAUUUUAUCAUCCAUGAAAGAGCUAUUUGAGAAUGACAAGCUUUCAGAAUUUUAGCCACCAAAGAGCUUUCAUCUUAAAACAGCCAUCCAACCAUGCUUUCGAGCAUUGCUUGUUUGAAAGAAAGUACUGAAAUGCCUGAAACCCAUUACUCCACUGCUUUUUGAUGCACAAAGCUUUUCCAAGCCACCUAGUGUAUUCUACUAGUCUUUAUCCCCACCAGGAAUGACUUGGAAGCGCAUGUCUACCUCAGAACAAAGAUUGUGUCCCUUUGUUUUUCUAUGUAGAGCUAGUAGUAAUGCUGUAGCAGCCUUUAGCACCCUAGCAGGCGACCUUGGUCUGAUAUUUGAUUUCAGUAUGUAGGUUUAAUGGCCAGUUUCAACUUUCAAUAUACAUAUGUUUAUUUAUUUAUUAUUUUUAAUUGGGGCUGCUGUCAAAUGCCUUUAUUUUCUCUA